CAGUCGAACGGUGAAGCGGGUGCUUGCACUCGUGGAUCAGUGGCGAACGGGUGAGUAACACGUGAGUAACCUGCCCUCCACUCUGGGAUAAGCGCUGGAAACGGCGUCUAAUACUGGAUACGACCGACCCUCGCAUGGGGUGUUGGUGGAAAGAUUUAUCGGUGGUGGAUGGACUCGCGGCCUAUCAGCUUGUUGGUGGGGUAAUGGCCUACCAAGGCGACGACGGGUAGCCGGCCUGAGAGGGCGACCGGCCACACUGGGACUGAGACACGGCCCAGACUCCUACGGGAGGCAGCAGUGGGGAAUAUUGCACAAUGGGCGAAAGCCUGAUGCAGCGACGCCGCGUGAGGGAUGACGGCCUUCGGGUUGUAAACCUCUUUCAGCAGGGAAGAAGCUUUUGUGACGGUACCUGCAGAAGAAGCACCGGCUAACUACGUGCCAGCAGCCGCGGUAAUACGUAGGGUGCGAGCGUUGUCCGGAAUUAUUGGGCGUAAAGAGCUUGUAGGCGGUUUGUCGCGUCUGCUGUGAAAAUUCAGGGCUUAACCCUGGACGUGCAGUGGGUACGGGCAGACUAGAGUGUGGUAGGGGAGACUGGAAUUCCUGGUGUAGCGGUGGAAUGCGCAGAUAUCAGGAGGAACACCGAUGGCGAAGGCAGGUCUCUGGGCCAUUACUGACGCUGAGAAGCGAAAGCAUGGGGAGCGAACAGGAUUAGAUACCCUG
rnacentral:rRNA from 1 species